AAGGUAGCGAAAUUCCUUGUCGGGUAAGUUCCGACCUGCACGAAUGGCGUAACGAUCUCCACACUGUCUCGGCCAGAGACUCGGUGAAAUUGAAGUCGCGGUGAAAAUGCCGUGUACCCGCAGAAAGACGGAAAGACCCUGUGCACCUUUACUAUAGCUUGACAUUGGGAUUUGGAACUGCAUGUGUAGGAUAGGUGGGAGACAAUGAACCCUGUACGCCAGUAUGGGGGGAGUCAUCGUUGAAAUACCACCCUUGUUUUUUCAGGUCCCUAACUCGUGUCCGUAAUCCGGCAUGAGGACAUUGUCUGGUGGGUAGUUUGACUGGGGCGGUCGCCUCCCAAAAAGUAACGGAGGCAUGCAAAGGUUCCCUCAGGCUGAUUGGAAACCAGCCGUCGAGUGCAAACGCAUAAGGGAGCUUGACUGCAAGAGAGACAUCUCGAGCAGGUACGAAAGUAGGCGUUAGUGAUCCGGUGGUCCCGUAUGGAAGGGCCAUCGCUCAUUGGAUAAAAGGUACGCCGGGGAUAACAGGCUGAUCGCAUCCAAGAGUUCACAUCGACGAUGCGGUUUGGCACCUCGAUGUCGGCUCAUCACAUCCUGGGGCUGAAGCAGGUCCCAAGGGUACGGCUGUUCGCCGUUUAAAGUGGUACGCGAGCUGGGUUUAAAACGUCGUGAGACAGUUUGGUCCCUAUCUUCUGUGGGCGUCGGAGAAUUGCGAGGGCCUGUCCCUAGUACGAGAGGACCGGGAUGGACGCACCCCUGGUGGACCUGUUGUCGUGCCAACGGCACAGCAGGGUAGCUAUGUGCGGAAGGGAUAACCGCUGAAAGCAUCUAAGCGGGAAGCCUGCCUCAAGAUAAUUUCUCCCGGGAGCAAUCCCCUGAAGGGCCGAGGUAGACUACCUCGUCGAUAGGCUGGGUGUGCAAGCGCCGCGAGGCGUUGAGCUGACCAGUACUAAUAGCCCGUGCGGCUUGUUUUU
rnacentral:rRNA from 1 species